CACACUGUAAACGAUGAUAACUCGCUGUCGGCGAUACACAGUCGGUGGCCAAGCGAAAGCAUUAAGUUAUCCACCUGGGGAGUACGACCGCAAGGUUGAAACUCAAAGGAAUUGACGGGGGCCCGCACAAGCGGAGGAACAUGUGGUUUAAUUCGAUGAUACGCGAGGAACCUUACCCGGGCUCGAACGGUGCAUGAAUAUAUGAGAGAUUGUAUAGUCUUCGGACAUGCAUCGAGGUGC
rnacentral:rRNA from 1 species